GGCGGGGUAGCUCAGCCUGGAAGAGCGAUCGGUUCAUGCCCGUUAGGCCGGCGGUUCAAAUCCGCCCCCCGCAACCA
rnacentral:tRNA from 1 species